rnacentral:rRNA from 1 species
ACCACCGGCGGACGGCUCAGUAACACGUCGGUAACCUACCCUCGGGAGGGGGAUAACCCCGGGAAACUGGGGCUAAUUCCCCAUAGGCCUGAGGUACUGGAAGGUCCUCAGGCCGAAAGGGACUUAUGUCCGCCCGAGGAUGGGCCGGCGGCCGAUUAGGUAGUUGGUGGGGUAAUGGCCCACCAAGCCGAAGAUCGGUACGGGCUGUGAGAGCAGGAGCCCGGAGAUGGACACUGAGACACGGGUCCAGGCCCUACGGGGCGCAGCAGGCGCGAAACCUCCGCAAUGCGGGAAACCGCGACGGGGGGACCCCGAGUGCCGUGGCAACGCCACGGCUUUUCCGGAGUGUAAAAAGCUCCGGGAAUAAGGGCUGGGCAAGGCCGGUGGCAGCCGCCGCGGUAAUACCGGCGGCCCGAGUGGUGGCCGCUAUUAUUGGGCCUAAAGCGUCCGUAGCCGGGCCCGUAAGUCCCUGGCGAAAUCCCACGGCUCAACCGUGGGGCUUGCUGGGGAUACUGCGGGUCUUGGGACCGGGAGAGGCGGGGGGUACCCCUGGGGUAGGGGUGAAAUCCUAUAAUCCCAGGGGGACCGCCAGUGGCGAAG